CCGUCCCUCGACACUCCCCACCGUUCACGGUGCGUGUCCUACCUCGUACGCCGAGGUCCCCCUGUCCCUCGGCACCCCCACCGUUCAUGGUGCAUGUCCCACCCUCGUACCCCGAGGUCCCCCCCCCCCUUCACUCGACUCCCCGCACCGGUCACAGUUGUCGGAGGGUGGGAUCUCGCUGACGACGGUGCCCCUCCCUCCUAUCACAAGAGGCUCCUGCCAAGACCAAAUACGGCCCGCUGAAGGAUGAGGACCGUAUCUUCACCAACCUGUAUGGCAGGCACGACUGGAGGCUGAAGGGAGCGCUACGGCGGGGCGACUGGUACAAGACGAAGGAGAUCCUGCUGAAGGGGGCGGACUGGAUCCUCGGGGAGGUGAAGACGUCCGGGCUGAGGGGUCAGGGAGGGGCCGGGUUUCCGACCGUCAUGAGGUGGGGCUUCAUGAACAAGCCUUCAGAUGGCAGUCUCUUACUCGGGACCUCAGUGGAUUCACGUCGAUUUUAACUGCGGGGGUCAAUUUGCCAGAAAUGGGCUUUGGUGGAGAUGAGAUCCGGGGCUCCAAGACUCUGCUUGUCCAACCUCCCUCAGCCUGGAGCUGAGACGCUACUGUGUCAGUGUGAGGAGCUCCGACCCACUGUUGCAGUGCACAGGGUGUGGAGGGCAAUAGAAACUUCAAAUAAAACUCGAUUCCGACACAAGACAGGAAGAUACAGUGGUUUAUUGAUUUUUAUGAGAAAUAUCAAUGAAACAAUGUGUGAGCUGCUAACGUGCGGGAAUAAAUAAUCUGCUGACAGUCACACACUAUUAACUGACCGGCGACAAGGGGUGACCGGUUGAAUAAUAACCAGUCCCGUUUCUCACCGUCACUCUGCAUCGGGGAACUGAUUAUAAAAUUAUAAAACUGAUUAUAAAAUUAUAAAACUGAUUAUAAAAUCACACUUCAGGGCCGUGUCCGGGAUCGCUGCAGAUCCAGGGUCACUGCCGAGGGAUUUGUCCAUUUAACAUCAUUAUAUCGGCCAGGCUGCCGAAUGCACCGUCCUCAGCAAAGGGGGCAAAAGGAUUCUCUCCCGGGACCAUCCCCCCCCCCCCCACCCCGGGACACCGGUGUCCCAGACUGAGCCCCGGACCCCGGGCUCUUCCUGUCCGGGUAAUUCCCCGGGUAGCCACGUGGGGAGUCUCCAACACGCACUUCCGGCGGAAGCUGCCCCGCCGGACAACAGGCGGAAACACGUCACUGCGGGACCGCUGCGAGCGACGCACACAGCGCGAGGCCCGUGCCGGUUCCGUUAAAACCGUUGGGAAUCAGUCCCAGCGCGCGGCCGUUAAAGGUAAGGGCGGGAGUUAAAGGGGAGGGCGGGGAGUCGGCCAAAUGUCCCCAUCCCACGGGCGGGGAUGUUCACACAUUCAGAUCCACUCUCAGUCCGGGUCUGGGUUCCUGUAGAGAUCUCAGUUCCUUCAUCCCGGUCUCACUGAACCGAUUCCCCACAUUCAGAUGUCCACAGAUCCACUCUCAGUCCGGGUCUGGGUUCCUGUAGAGAUCUCAGUUCCUUCAUCCCGGUCUCACUGAACCGAUUCCCCACAUUCAGAUGUUCACAGAUCCACCAUCAGUCCGGGUCUGGGUUCCUGUAGAGAUCUCAGUUCCUUCCCCCCGGUCUCACUGAACCGAUUCCCCACAUUCAGAUGUUCACAGAUCCACCAUCAGUCCGGGUCUGGGUUCCUGUAGAGAUCUCAGUUCCUUCAUCCCGGUCUCACUGAACCGAUUCACCACAUUCAGAUGUUCACAGAUCCACCAUCAGUCCGGGUCUGGGUUCCUGUAGAGAUCUCAGUUCCUUCAUCCCGGUCUCACUGAACCGAUUCCCCACAUUCAGAUGUUCACAGAUCCACCAUCAGUCCGGGUCUGGGUUCCUGUAGAGAUCUCAGUUCCUUCAUCCCGGUC